UAUUAAUUUUGCAUUUUCCCAUUGAUUCUUAACCUGCAUUUUUUACCUUUUCUAAUUUUCUGUGCGACAGGCCGUGGCUGAUGGGAUCCCUAACUGUCGGGGGCGCAACGGUCGUAAAGAUUGAGUCCAACGAUCUUUCCCAUCAGCCGAAAUACAACAUUUGAGAACUGAAAAUACACGGAGUGAUUAUAACUAGAGAAUACUUAUGAUUUAUAUGUGGUUUACAGGUAUAAACUACUGUAUUAUAAACUGGCCGUUGAGAAAGAUCGUGACUCUAUUUUUACGAGCAUAA